rnacentral:rRNA from 1 species
GUGCUUAACACAUGCAAGUCGAGCGGAGAUUGAUUUAUGUAAUCUUAGCGGCGGACGGGUGAGUAACGCGUAGGCAACCUGCCUUGCACAGAGGGAUAACACCGGGAAACUGGUGCUAAUACCACAUGAUAUCAUAACAAGGCAUCUUGAAAUGAUCAAAGGAUAAAUCCGGUGCAAGAUGGGCCUGCGUCCGAUUAGUUAGUUGGUGAGGUAACGGCUCACCAAGGCGACGAUCGGUAGCCGAACUGAGAGGUUGAUCGGCCACAUUGGGACUGAGACACGGCCCAGACUCCUACGGGAGGCAGCAGUGGGGAAUAUUGCGCAAUGGGGGGAACCCUGACGCAGCAACGCCGCGUGAAGGAAGAAGGCCUUCGGGUUGUAAACUUUUUUGAUUGGGGAAGAAAAAAAUGACGGUACCCAAGGAACAAGCCACGGCUAACUACGUGCCAGCAGCCGCGGUAAUACGUAGGUGGCGAGCGUUGUCCGGAAUUACUGGGUGUAAAGGGCGUGUAGGCGGGAUUGUAAGUCAGAUGUGAAAUUCCAGGGCUUAACUCUGGAGGCGCAUCUGAAACUAUAAUUCUUGAGUGCUGGAGAGGAAAGCGGAAUUCCUAGUGUAGCGGUGAAAUGCGUAGAUAUUAGGAAGAACACCAGUGGCGAAGGCGGCUUUCUGGACAGUAACUGACGCUGAGGCGCGAAAGCGUGGGGAGCAAACAGGAUUAGAUACCCUGGUAGUCCACGCUGUAAACGAUGGAUACUAGGUGUAGGAGGUAUCGACCCCUUCUGUGCCGGAGUUAACACAAUAAGUAUCCCACCUAGGGAGUACGGCCGCAAGGCUGAAACUCAAAGGAAUUGACGGGGGCCCGCACAAGCAGUGGAGUAUGUGGUUUAAUUCGAAGCAACGCGAAGGACCUUACCAGGGCUUGACAUCCCUCGGAUAACAUAGAGAUAUGUUAGUCCUUCGGGACGAGGAGACCGGUGGUGCCAUGGUUGUCGU